UACGUAGGUGGCAAGCGUUAUCCGGAAUUAUUGGGCGUAAAGCGCGCGCAGGCGGUUUCUUAAGUCUGAUGUGAAAGCCCACGGCUCAACCGUGGAGGGUCAUUGGAAACUGGGGAACUUGAGUGCAGAAGAGAAAAGCGGAAUUCCACGUGUAGCGGUGAAAUGCGUAGAGAAUGUGGAGGAACACCAGUGGCGAAGGCGGCUUUUGGUCCUGUAACUGAGCGCUGAGGCGCGAA
rnacentral:rRNA from 1 species